rnacentral:rRNA from 1 species
GAUGAACGCUGGCGGCGUGCUUAACACAUGCAAGUCGAACGAUGAACCUCACUUGUGGGGGGAUUAGUGGCGAACGGGUGAGUAACACGUGAGUAACCUGCCCUUGACUCUGGGAUAAGCCUGGGAAACCGGGUCUAAUACUGGAUACGACCUUCUGGCGCAUGCCAUGUUGGUGGAAAGCUUUUGUGGUUUUGGAUCGACUCGCGGCCUAUCAGCUUGUUGGUGGGGUAAUGGCCUACCAAGGCGACGACGGGUAGCCGGCCUGAGAGGGUGACCGGCCACACUGGGACUGAGACACGGCCCAGACUCCUACGGGAGGCAGCAGUGGGGAAUAUUGCACAAUGGGCGCAAGCCUGAUGCAGCGACGCCGCGUGAGGGAUGAAGGCCUUCGGGUUGUAAACCUCUUUCAGUAGGGAAGAAGCCGGCUUUUGGGUUGGUGACGGUACCUGCAGAAGAAGCGCCGGCUAACUACGUG